CCUACGGGAGGCAGCAGUGGGGAAUAUUGGGCAAUGGAGGCAACUCUGACCCAGCGACGCCGCGUGCGGGAUGAAGGCCUUCGGGUUGUAAACCGCUUUCAGUAGGGAAGAAGCGAAAGUGACGGUACCUA
rnacentral:rRNA from 1 species